GCUCCACUAUGUAGUCACCUGGGCGAACAGACAUGAUGAUUCGGUCAUGUUUGUCCAGGGCACUAUCCCAGUUCUGUGACAGAAUCAUGGUUUUCUAAGUAAU
rnacentral:pre_miRNA from 1 species